AUGCGCCUUGCCAGCCCGCUCAGGUGUGCCAGCAGCCGCGGUAAUACGGAGGAUGCGAGCGUUAUCCGGAUUUAUUGGGUUUAAAGGGUGCGUAGGCGGUCCGUUAAGUCAGCGGUAAAAUUGCGGGGCUCAACCCCGUCGAGCCGUUGAAACUGUCAGACUUGAGUUGGCGAGAAGUACGCGGAAUGCGCGGUGUAGCGGUGAAAUGCAUAGAUAUCGCGCAGAACUCCGAUUGCGAAGGCAGCGUACCGGCGCCACACUGACGCUGAGGCACGAAAGCGUGGGGAUCGAACAGG
rnacentral:rRNA from 1 species